rnacentral:lncRNA from 1 species
GGAUUUACAGUUUCUUUAUGAUGCAUGAAUUCUUAGUCACCAUUUGAAUUGAUGCUUUAUGUUUAAGUUCUUUGAUUGAUCACCUUAGGGCUUUUGCAUCUACUAAUUAGAAGGUGAAUUUGAGGCGUAUAUAAUUCAAAUUAGCUUCUUGUGAUUAAGAGUUUUGAAUUAUAUUGUUUUCGUACCUGAAGUAAUGAUUUACAUAGUUCUCUUGUUUUCUAGAACGUAACGAGUCAUGUCUAUUAAAUUUAUGCCGUACUGCAUAUGCUAGGAUAUACGACCUCUGUCGUAUGUGGAGAGAAUCAUGCAUUUAAAGAAAACUAUGGUCUAAGUGUCGUACCUAGACUUAGAUACAAGAAUUGUCAUAAAGAGAAACAACAUUAAGAGAAAUGAAAGUGUCUGUUAGUUGCAUUAUAUAUAAAUAAGAUUGUUAGUGAUUGAUUCUGAUACUCUAGGUUCUACCAUCUUUUGUUUCUCAACUUAUUUUCUUGUGUAUUUCUUUAUAUAGUUCAUUGCGAUCUUGUGUUCUAAGUUUCAAUUAAUUGAGUUAGAAUAUAAAUUAUAUCAAUCCUCAGUUAAUUAAUUAUCAGUUAGAACGAACUUGUUCUUGCACACUAUAUAUACUGACAAUUUGUGCGCUUGCAAGUUUUAAUUAAAAUUUCACAACAAAUGGUCUAGGAUAAUUUAGGGUUUGUGGAACAGGUGGAUAAGUUUGGCAUCAAACGUGGAACCCAAACUAUAGGGUUUUGGUUCUCCACAAAAUCUGUGAUCCGGUACAAGAGGCUUUCUUUGAGGUACCAUUGAAUUCGGCGAUGCAAGGUUUCUGGCUAAGCUUCGCUUCAAGUACGAUCAGACGAUGGGUUUUAGCCGUAUUUGUGGCAUGCUGAAUGUUGAUAUAUUGGCUAUUACUAUUCAACUCCAAGAACUCCUAAUGACACUAGGAAAGGAAGCAAUCAUGACAGCAGCUUGAUCAAAGGUAUUUUGCUUGCUGUAUAGAUAUUUGGUAAGUUAAGGUAAUGAUCUUCAAUCUUCUCAUAUAUGGUAAGUUAAUCUCUUUUUAACUUAUUUAUUUGCUUACUGAUUUUCUGGUAAACAAACUUAUGUCUAGCAUUUUCCAUAUCAGUACUUUUUACAGAGAACAUUCGCAGGAUGUGGGAUUACUUUACCAUAUCUGAUUUGGUGCUAUUACAAAUCAGGAAUAUCAGAAUUAUUAUCUGCAUUAAUCUUGUGCUGUUAAAAUCAUAUCUNNNNNNNNNNNNNNNNNNNNGUUUCAUGUGGAAUUCGAUAUACUUGUGAUACUAAUGCAGAAAUUGUUGGUUAUUCAGAUGCUGAUUGGGGGAGGAAGUCUUAAAGAUAGCAAGAGCACCUCAGGUGGAUGUUUCUUCUUGGGAAACAAUAUGAUUGCCUGGCACAGUAAAAAGCAAAAUUGUAUUUCCUUAUCCACAACUGAGUCAGAAUAUGUAGCUGCUGGCAGCUGCUGUACUCAAAUGUUGUGGAUGCAGAAUAUGCUGAGGGACUAUGGGAUGUCACAAGGUAAAUUCACCAUUCUAUGUGAUAACACUAGUGCCAUCAACAUCACAAAAAAUCCAGUACAACACUCCAAAACUAAGCACAUUGCUAUCAGGUAUCAUUUUAUCAGAGAUCUAGUUGAGAAAAAUAUUCUGCACAUGGAGUAUAUAUCUACUGCUAAUCAACUUGCUGAUAUUUUCACUAAAUCUCUUGCCACUGAUAGAUUUGAAGAACUUAGAAAUGCUUUAGGCAUUUGCAAAAAUCCUUAUCUUUAAGUCUUAACUCUUGAAAUGGUUCUUAAAUUAUCUGUACAGAAUGUUUGUGAUCAUUGAUCUUAGCUUUAUGUUGUGUAGAAAUUAACUGGUUGUUUAUUUUUAAACAUGGUAUGAGUCUGGUUCAUAUUCUUGCUGUCUGUAUGCCUUAUUCAGUAAUAUUAUUGUGCUGCCAGCACACACACACAAUGGACAUGAUUUUCUCAGGUAUAGGAAACAACAAAUUGAAAAAAAAAAAAAAAAAAAAAAAAAACAAUAUCAAAAGCGUGUGAUAAAAAGUUGAUUGUUUGCAGAAUUCUUGCGGCCUCUUUAAAGAGGUGAUGUGCAUGGAGGUUGAUCUCAGCUGGUUUGGCUAAACUGAUCAAACACUUGAGUAUUGAUGCCUUGGGAUAUCUCUUGAAUAUCUAGUACCCUAAAAUCAACUGAUUUGGGAGUUGCUGCAUUUGACUUACUCUAUAAGUGUUCAUAUUUUUAGAGAUAAAAACAGAAAAAUCUCUUUCAGGCCAAGUUAUUCCUAAAGUAACCAUGUCUUGGUUGUGAUGAACAAUAUAAGAUACUGGGGGAGAAACAGGAAUGGCUUGGUCAAUUAAUAUUGUUUGGUUGGUAUCAACAAAGUUGGUUGUUGUAAAGAACUAAGAAUCCUUUCUGCAGAAACUCAUGUCCAUUUUAUCUGUCACUUGGCAUCCAUUCUUUAUUCUGCUAAGGCACACAGGGAUACAGUGUUUGAUAGUCUCAUCUGUGUUUAGAUCUGCACAAACAGAUAUUUUCUUCUACCUCAUUGUGUGCUUUGCCUUGAUUGUUUUCUUCUUUACUGAUACGAGGAGAUUCAGAGUUAGUCUACCAAGAUUCCAGUAAGAGAUUUGCAUAUGUCUUUUCGUUUUUCUGGCUUUUUCAAAUUUUGUCAUUAUGUGCUUAUGGGAUUUGAUUUGGAAAAUAUUUUAUUUUGGUAGUUAAUUUUAUUCAUAAAGUCCAUUGAUCAUGCUUGCCUUUACAGGAACCAUCAUUCCUUUUCAACUUCUGUGUUCAUUCCUUAUAAAAGGGUGCAGCUACAGUCUUUCUUUCCACACACAAUUGCUUCACUAGGGUUUUCUAGUUUUUGUGUGCAGCUAUUCUUCCGUUUCUCAGAUGGCAAAGGACAAACAGACAAUGCUUCCUAAUCUUUCUCCAGAUCGGGUCGGCAGUCCAGUGAUUCCACCAUCUCCUCUUGCUGACUUUUCAUCUCCCCCUCCUUCUCCAAGACUUCAUCCAGAGUUUCACAAAGCCAAGACCUUCCCUGGUACUUGGUAUGAAGGCAAACCAUGGCGUCCUAUGGUGCCCCUAGCCAAUGAUUGUGAUCCUGACCAGAUAGCAGUUUAUCUUGCUUCCUUGGAAAAGGUCACUAGUGACUGGGCGCAAGACAUUCAAACACAGAUUGGUGCUCUCACUGAAGCGGUGCUUAUCAUGGGAAGGAGAAUCGAUGACCUCACUCAACGUCUUCCUCAUCCUGCUGCCUCUGAUGUUCCACCAGGCUUUCAACCAAAGGCUUCCUCUACUGACCCUUCCGGUGUCAAGCGUUCUCUGGACUUCAUGCAGGAUGCUGCGGCUGCUGCACCCUCUUCCAAGAAACCUUUUAAUCCUUGGGAGCCCGAUGAAAAGAAGAGCUCUUCAGAUGAUGAUAAAUGGGGCAAAUGGUAGUCAUUCCUUUGGCAUGCUCUUCAGGGGGAGAACGAUCAAGACCUUUUUUCUGCCAUGAUUAUUUUUACUGGUUUUUGUUUACUGAACUUUAAGAUUUAUUUUGAACAAUGUUUCAGUCCUUGGUUUGUAAGUGCUUAUGCACAACAUUGUGUGAUUUGUUUCCAUUUAUCUUAUUCUUUUUGAGUUAUCAGUAUAUGGAGUUCUUGGAGAUCUGGAAAAGGAUGGAAACUGAUUCCGUACGACCUGCGAGAUCUGUUAUCAAGACAUGCGCAUGUUAACUUUUGUUUUGCAGGUCUUGAUCAAGUGUUGAAUAGCAAUGCCAAAGGGGGAGAAUGUUGAUAUAUUGGCUAUUACUAUUCAACUCCAAGAACUCCUAAUGACACUAGGAAAGGAAGCAAUCAUGACAGCAGCUUGAUCAAAGGUAUUUUGCUUGCUGUAUAGAUAUUUGGUAAGUUAAGGUAAUGAUCUUCAAUCUUCUCAUAUAUGGUAAGUUAAUCUCUU